rnacentral:rRNA from 1 species
CCUACGGGGGGCUGCAGUGGGGAAUAUUGCACAAUGGGCGCAAGCCUGAUGCAGCCAUGCCGCGUGUGUGAAGAAGGCCUUCGGGUUGUAAAGCACUUUCAGCGGGGAGGAAGGCGUUAAGGUUAAUAACCUUGUCGAUUGACGUUACCCGCAGAAGAAGCACCGGCUAACUCCGUGCCAGCAGCCGCGGUAAUACGGAGGGUGCAAGCGUUAAUCGGAAUUACUGGGCGUAAAGCGCACGCAGGCGGUCUGUCAAGUCGGAUGUGAAAUCCCCGGGCUCAACCUGGGAACUGCAUUCGAAACUGGCAGGCUAGAGUCUUGUAGAGGGGGGUAGAAUUCCAGGUGUAGCGGUGAAAUGCGUAGAGAUCUGGAGGAAUACCGGUGGCGAAGGCGGCCCCCUGGACAAAGACUGACGCUCAGGUGCGAAAGCGGGGGGAGCAAACAGGAUUAGAUACCCGUGUAGUC